rnacentral:rRNA from 1 species
GAUGAACGCUAGCUACAGGCUUAACACAUGCAAGUCGCGGGGUAACAUCUGGUAGAGCUUGCUCUUCCAGGAUGACGACCGGCGCACGGGUGAGUAACGCGUAUCCAACCUGCCCAUUACUCGGGAAUAACCUCUCGAAAGAGAGCCUAAUGCCCGAUUCAUUCCAUAGAGGACAUCUGAAGUGGAAUAAAGAUUCAUCGGUAAUGGAUGGGGAUGCGUCUGAUUAGCUUGUUGGCGGGGUAACGGCCCACCAAGGCGACGAUCAGUAGGGGUUCUGAGAGGAAGGUCCCCCACAUUGGAACUGAGACACGGUCCAAACUCCUACGGGAGGCAGCAGUGAGGAAUAUUGGUCAAUGGGCGAGAGCCUGAACCAGCCAAGUAGCGUGCAGGACGACGGCCCUAUGGGUUGUAAACUGCUUUUAUAAGGGAAUAAAGUGAGCCUCGUGAGGCUUUUUGCAUGUACCUUAUGAAUAAGGACCGGCUAAUUCCGUGCCAGCA